UUUAUCGAAAACAACUGCUGCUACUCGUCGCUGCUUGAAGGGUCCUUUCAUGCUACUGCUCGUCAUCACCUACACCGUCGCUGCCCGCCCUGGAAAAUUUUAACUCUGUCGAAACUCUACUCUUAAUUCAUCUUUAAAUGUUCCUGCCAUUACUGAUAAGCACGACUGGCAAUCAUCAUUUUCUUUCAAUUCCCUCAACCCUUUCUAUCUCUUUUGUUCUUUUCCCUGUCUAACUCCCCCCUUCUCUCUCUGUCAUGCUUUGUUUCGCUGUGUAAAGCUUCCAUUCCCUUUUCAAUCUACUCCUCUUGUUGGGUUUUUUUUACUCUCAAAGCACUCUCUGUGUUUUUCUUUGAUUUUUUGGAUCUGGUUCCUGCUUGCUUUCGGAUUAUCAUCUUCAACCUCAACACCAGAUAAUGCUUCAAUUCUUUGAUCUGUGAAUUCAAGAAACCUCCCCUUCUUUUGCGCUAUUCAGACUACAUCUGGCUUCUCAGACUCUCCGCAUCAUCACAUUCUAUUCUACUCAGCUGCCAGGACCAAAUUAUCAUUGGCGAGAGGGUUCAAAGCUUGCGAGGCUGCCAAAAUCGCAUACUGCGUUAGAAGUACUCUUAAUUAAUUAUAAUGCUCCAAUUCUUCGAUCUGUGAAUUCAAGAAACCUCCCCUUCUUUUGCGCUAUUCAGACUCCAUCUGGCUUCUCAGACUCUCCGCAUCAUCACAUUCUAUUCUACUCAACUGCCAGGACCAAAUUAUCAUUAGCGAGAGG